AAAACCCUACCGUGUUCGAUUCGGAUUAGGUAACUUUUGUUCCAACACCAUUUGAAAGGGGCCUCAGCUCCGGGUGGGGCGUGAGUGACGCCUAUGUGCGAAGUCGCAAACCUCCCGGGAGGGCACCCACCUGCAGGGCGCAGGGAUAUAAAUGUUACCAUCCAGGCGGCAUGGUGGGGUUCGU
rnacentral:other from 1 species